GAAUGCCAACAGUUAUUUAAGAUUUUUUUUAAUUUAAAACUUAAUAAAUACUAAUUUAUACUAGAAGAACUAUACUACAGAACAUUUUCUGGGAGAAAAAUAUUGCUUGUUGAACAGCAAAUGUCCCACAAUUUCUAAAUACAUAUACUAAUAAAUCGUAUUGCCUACUUAUUACAUUCACUAUUAUAGAACCUGUACCGUAGCCGUGGCUUAUUCAAUACACAAAGCUGUUCAAAGCGAGUUGGAAAUACAUUAGUAUAAAUAAAUUGAUUAAGAUAGCGAAGGUGAAGCCAAGCUUCCUUAAACGAGUCCUAGAAGUAAAAUUCACUAAGUAUAGCCGAUACAGAAACAGAUAGUAUAACAUUGCAAUUAUGAGGAACGACAAAAAUAAAAAAUAGUUUCUGUUUUUUUAAUCGAAUAAAAUACGAAAAAAAAACAAGGUAUUAUUGAUACAAAGAUACAGAGUCAAAGCUAUAAAACCAAAAAUUGUUAAAGUGUUUUAUCGAUGCUAUAUCGUAUUUCAAAAAAACUCGUCUGACCAAAAAUCCACUUUAUUCAUUGUUCUAUAAUUGGAUAGGCAUUAGCACAGAUCCACCCAACCAACAGUACUUGGAAGUUGAAAGUCGACUAUAGUUGUGGUGCUCAAAAAAUGGAGUCCAUAGAAUAUUAUAAUAUAUUGUUGUAAUAUCCUAGCUGAUCUAUUGGUACGAAGAGUGAUGAGCGAUGACCAAGUAACAGGUAUAUUAUUAUAAAUGUAUAAUAAUUAUUUUUUAUUACUAAACAAUACAUUAAAUUGUA